UACAGAGGUCUCAAGCGUUGUUCGGAUUCAUUGGGCGUAAAGGGCGCGUAGGCGGCGGGGUAAGUCGGGUGUGAAAUCUCAGGGCUCAACCCUGAAACUGCACUCGAUACUGCUCUGCUUGAGGACUGGAGAGGAGACUGGAAUUCACGGUGUAGCAGUGAAAUGCGUAGAUAUCGUGAGGAAGACCAGUGGCGAAGGCGGGUCUCUGGACAGUUCCGUGACGCUGAGGGCACGAAGCCAGGGGAGCAAACGGG
rnacentral:rRNA from 1 species